UAAAAAAUAUCAUCUCAAAAUCAUACCUUUUGAGUUAGAAUUUUAAAAGACUUCAAGAAAAAAAAAAAUGAAAGUCUACGACAGCUCUAAAGCCAAAAAUUCUCGACAUCACCGGCCUCCUCUCAACAGCUUGCACUUAAAAGAAUGGCCACUGCUGACGAGGAAGCUAUAUCAAAGAGCGAAUAUCAAAGAGGAAUGAGCGCUUGGAAUUUUGACGUCAGAGACUUGAAAACACAAUCAUCUCUGCGAAUUGAUGACGAUGAUGUAGCUGAGAGUAAGGAAGAUGAAGAAAUAUAUGUGCACAGUUUAAAGGCAAGUAAUC